UGCGUAGGUGGGCAGGUAAGUCCGCGGUGAAAUCCCCGAGCUUAACUUGGGAACUGCCGUUGAUACUAUCUGUCUUGAAUGUCGUGGAGGUAAGCGGAAUAUGUCAUGUAGCGGUGAAAUGCUUAGAGAUGACAUAGAACACCAAUUGCGAAGGCAGCUUGCUACACGAAAAUUGACACUGAGGCACGAAAGCGUGGGGAGCAAACAGGAUUAGAUACCCUGGUAGUCC
rnacentral:rRNA from 1 species